GGACCUGACUGCUAUCNAAUGAUACUAAGCCAUGCGAGUCAUNGUAGCAAUACAAGGCAUACGGCUCAGUAACGCGUAGUCAACNUAACNUAUGGACGGGAAUAACUNCGGGAAACUGAGAAUAAUGCCCGAUAGAACAUUAUGCCUGGAAUGGUUUAUGUUCCAAAUGAUUUAUCGCCGUAGGAUGGGACUGCGGCCUAUCAGUUUGUUGGUGAGGUAAUGGCCCACCAAGACUAUUACAGGUACGGGCUCUGAGAGGAGUAGCCCGGAGAUGGGUACUGAGACACGGACCCAGGCCCUAUGGGGCGCAGCAGGCGAGAAAACUUUGCAAUGUGCGAAAGCACGACAAGGUUAAUCCGAGUGGUUUCUGCUAAAGAAACCUUUUGUCAGUCCUAGAAACACUGAUGAAUAAGGGGUGGGCGAAGUUCUGGUGUCG
rnacentral:rRNA from 1 species